ACAAUGGUCGAAACAGUAUAUACUAUAAUAACCCUCUUAUAGACCCCUUACUAACCCUAAAUGUCUUAAAAUUUACCCCGUAUACGAGAAACGGGCCUAAACUACCCUUAUAUUAACAAAAAUCAAAUAAAAAUCAGUAACCGAAGCUCUCGCGGGGCGCGACCCAUCUCUUUGGGCCUGUCGCGGGCCACGACAACGUGUCAUCACCAGACGACACCAUGAUCUGCCACGUGUCCCUUACGUGUUGAAGCAAGAUAGGUGAGUCGUCAAGGCUAGGGCUUACCCUACUAGCCUCACGGGCCGCGAGAGAGGAACAAGGGGGAUUCGCGGGUUGCGAGCCGCCCUUCGAUCAGCCCUAUAAAUAAAGGCUUCGGCCUCAUUUGUCAAACGUUCAAUUCUUUUCUUUUUCUCUGAUCACUAGUAGGAUAAAACUCUCGGGAAUAAUACCUCUAUAAAGCGAAGCUCUGCCUUGUUGUAAGUAUUAUAACCCUAAUUGUUAUUCUACACGGUCGAUCUAGGGCUCCGUAACGCAUGUCAAGGCUCUGCCUGACUCAGUCGUUGGAGUUCUGUCUCGUGUUACACCCGAUUGAUCUAGGACUCCGUAAUGCAUGUCAAGGCUCUGCCUGACUCAGUCAUUGGAGUUCUGUCUCGAGUUAUAGUAACUAGGAGAAUUAUCAAGAAGCUAUAGUAGUAUCACCUAGAUCAGCAAAGUAACUUAAUGUGAAGCUAAUAGAAGACAGCUGGAGAGCAUUGAAGGCUUAAAGUUGUGGCUAUAAAAGUUACCAAAUAAAGAAACAGAGUUUUUGUUUUCAAUAAUUAGGGUUUAUCCCUACAAAUGUAUUGUCAAAUGAACUUGGGUUUUAUCCAAUUUAUUAUUAUAAAAGUUUUGUGU
rnacentral:lncRNA from 1 species